UACGUAGGUGGCAAGCGUUGUCCGGAAUUAUUGGGCGUAAAGCGCGCGCAGGCGGUCCUUUAAGUCUGAUGUGAAAGCCCACGGCUCAACCGUGGAGGGUCAUUGGAAACUGGGGGACUUGAGUGCAGGAGAGAAAAGUGGAAUUCCACGUGUAGCGGUGAAAUGCGUAGAGAUGUGGAGGAACACCAGUGGCGAAGGCGACUUUUUGGCCUGUAACUGACGCUGAGGCGCGAAAGCGUGGGGAGCGAACAGG
rnacentral:rRNA from 1 species